GAUCAUGGCUCAGAUUGAACGCUGGCGGUAUGCUUAACACAUGCAAGUCGAACGGUAGCAGGCCUUCGGGCGCUGACGAGUGGCGGACGGGUGAGUAACGCGUAGGAAUCUGCCUCAUAGUGGGGGACAACGUGGGGAAACUCACGCUAAUACCGCAUACGCCCUACGGGGAAAGCGGGGAGUCUUCGGACCUCGCGCUAUGAGAUGAGCCUGCGUUAGAUUAGCUAGUUGGUAGGGUAAAGGCCUACCAAGGCGACGAUCUAUAGCUGGUCUGAGAGGACGAUCAGCCACACUGGGACUGAGACACGGCCCAGACUCCUACGGGAGGCAGCAGUGGGGAAUAUUGGACAAUGGGCGCAAGCCUGAUCCAGCAAUACCGCGUGUGUGAAGAAGGCCUUAGGGUUGUAAAGCACUUUCAAUUGGGAGGAAAACCUGUCGGUCAAUACCCGGCAGCUUGACAUUACCUUUAGAAGAAGCACCGGCUAACUCCGUGCCAGCAGCCGCGGUAAUACGGAGGG
rnacentral:rRNA from 1 species